rnacentral:rRNA from 1 species
GACAGAGGAUGCAAGCGUUAUCCGGAAUUACUGGGCGUAAAGCGCACGUAGGCGGCUUUGUAAGUUAGAGGUGAAAGCCCGGGGCUCAACCCCGGAAUUGCCUUUAAGACUGCAUCGCUUGAAUCCGGGAGAGGUGAGUGGAAUUCCGAGUGUAGAGGUGAAAUUCGUAGAUAUUCGGAAGAACACCAGUGGCGAAGGCGGCCAACUGGACCAUUACUGACGCUGAGGCGCGAAAGCGUGGGGAGCAAACAGG